GAUGAACGCUGGCGGCGUGCCUAAUACAUGCAAGUCGAGCGAACAGACGCGGAGCUUGCUCCUCUGACGUUAGCGGCGGACGGGUGAGUAACGCGUGGAUAACCUACCUAUCAGACUGGGAUAACUUCGGGAAACCGGAGCUAAUACCGGAUAAUAUAUUGAACCGCAUGGUUCAAUAGUGAAAGACGGUUUUGCUGUCACUUAUAGAUGGAUCCGCGCCGCAUUAGCUAGUUGGUAAGGUAACGGCUUACCAAGGCAACGAUGCGUAGCCGAACUGAGAGAGUGAUCGGCCACACUGGAACUGAGACACGGUCCAGACUCCUACGGGAGGCAGCAGUAGGGAAUCGUACGCAAUGGGCGAAAGCAUGACGGAGCAACGCCGCGUGAGUGAUGAAGGUCUUCGGAGCGUAAAGCUCUGUUAUUAGGGAAGAACAAAUGUGGAAGUAACUGAGGACGUCUUGACGGUACCUAAUCAGAAAGCAACGGCUAACUACGUG
rnacentral:rRNA from 1 species